rnacentral:tRNA from 1 species
AGUGCUAUGUCUGAUAUUAAGGUAAUAAAUUGUAAAUUUAUUUAUGGAAAUUCUUAUUUCCUAGCAUUA